rnacentral:lncRNA from 1 species
CCGAAUUACCAACCAAAUUGUACGGGGUUGGAAUUGGGUUCAAAACGUUUAGGCUCUCCUGAUAUUGGUUUGCACACACUGUAAUCUAUAUCUAAAUAUCUACACUUAGCUACAGAUCCCCUACACUCAUACUGUGAGUGCCAAAUGAGAGUUUGGGAUAUUUGGUUACAUGUUUUCGUAGUCUUAAUGCAGCUAACACAACUCUGUAUGUCCUCACCUUUACCUUCCUGAAAAAUCACAAAAAUGCCUAAACACAUAAUAGAACAUAUUAUUUCAGAAGUCCUCAUUUCUACUCUUCGACCGUGCAACGGCACCUCAGCU